UGUGGCGGGGGAGGGGGUAGUCACAGUUCUGGCUGGAUGCUAGGAAGGGCCAUGCAACAAUGAACAUGCAUCUGUGUCCCCAUUGUAGAAACUUGAGAUCUGUCUGACCACUCAAACAGCAAGCAGGACAGGAACAAAAACAAAAACAAAAUGUAGCCUAAGAGCUCAAGUCUCAUGUGGAGCCAGCAAGGGUGGCAGAAUGACAAAAGUUCUGGAUGUGCCACACACACCCAGAAGAAAGGAGCCCAUCUGGGAGUGAGCAAGACUGAUUGGUUGACUUUGAGAGGGCCGGCCUGGACUUGAUUUUGAGGGAAAGGCCUCAGUACUGGGACUUUCUCUGGGAAGUGGGAUUCUCCCCUCUAAGUCCCCUUCAAACAACCUUCAGUGAAGCCCUGCCUUAUUUUAAAUUGACUUGGAGAGGCGUUUCUGCUCAUUGACUUGGAGAGGGGUUUUUCAGGAGACAAACAAGACUCUCAGAGAGUUUUAACAAAAUCAAAAGAAGAAGAAGGAGGAGGAAGAGGAGGAGGAGGAGGAGGAGAAGAAGAAGAAAAACAUUUCAGGACUUCUUGAAAUGCCCCACAAUAGGAAAAUCUUCGGCUUUGAACAAACACCAAAGGGGUCAGAGUGUGAAAAAGGUGAAGAACACAGAGUAUAAAAUAUUUAUUUACCAAGGUUAUUCUAGGAUGUAAUCCUUCAAUUUGUUCUAUACAACUGUCUUGCUGUU